rnacentral:rRNA from 1 species
CCUUCUGCGCGGAAGAUGUAACGGGGCUAAGCUGUUAACCGAAGCCGCGGAUGCACUGAUUAUUCAGUGCGUGGUAGGGGAGCGUUCUGUAAGUCUGCGAAGGCGGUUCGAGAGGACUGCUGGAGAUAUCAGAAGUGCGAAUGCUGACAUGAGUAACGUUAAAGCAGGUGAAAAGCCUGCUCGCCGUAAGCCCAAGGAUUCCUGCUCUACGUUCAUCGGAGCAGGGUGAGUCGGCUCCUAAGGUCAGGCCGAAAGGCGUAGCCGAUGGGAAUCAGGUUAAUAUUCCUGAACCUGCGUCAGAUGCGAUGGGGGGACGGAGCAUGAAAGAUCAUCCGGGUGUUGGAUGUCCCGGUUGACGAGCGUAGGAGGUCUGCAGGCAAAUCCGCAGACACAUCUCCAAGGCGAAGUCACGUGCCGCCACGGCGGCGAAGUGAUCGGAAGUGCUUCCAAGAAAAGCCUCUAAGCACCAGUCUGACGCGGACCGUACCGCAAACCGACACUGGUGGGCGAGCUGAAUAUGCUCAGGCGCUUGAGAGAACUCGGGAGAAGGAACUCGGCAAAUUGACACCGUAACUUCGGAAGAAGGUGUGCCGUAGUACCGUGAGAGGAGAGACACCUUGAGCGGGAAUCGGUCUCAGAGAAUAGGUGGCUGCGACUGUUUAUUAAAAACACAGCACUCUGCAAAGUCGAAAGACGACGUAUAGGGUGUGAUGCCUGCCCGGUGCUGGAAGAUUAAUUGAUGGGGUGAGAGCCCUUGAUCGAAGUCCCAGUAAACGGCGGCCGUAACUAUAACGGUCCUAAGGUAGCGAAAUUCCUUGUCGGGUAAGUUCCGACCUGCACGAAUGGCAUAACGAUGGCCACACUGUCUCCUCCCGAGACUCAGUGAAGUUGAAAUGUUUGUGAUGAUGCAAUCUACCCGCGGCUAGACGGAAAGACCCCAUGAACCUUUACUGCAGCUUUGCAUUGAACUGUGAACCGAUUUGUGUAGGAUAGGUGGGAGGCAGAGAAGAGGCCACGCCAGUGGUCUUGGAGCCGACCUUGAAAUACCACCCUGAUUUGUUUGCGGUUCUAACCACGGACAGUGAUCCUGUCUUGGGACCGUGCAUGGUAGGCAGUUUGACUGGGGCGGUCUCCUCCUAAAGGGUAACGGAGGAGUACGAAGGUACGCUAGGUACGGUCGGAAAUCGUGCUGAUAGUGCAAUGGCAAAAGCGUGCUUGACUGCGAGAGCAACAACUCGAGCAGAUGCGAAAGCAGGUCAUAGUGAUCCGGUGGCUCUGAAUGGAAGGGCCAUCGCUCAACGGAUAAAAGGUACUCUGGGGAUAACAGGCUGAUACCGCCCAAGAGUUCAUAUCGACGGCGGUGUUUGGCACCUCGAUGUCGGCUCAUCUCAUCCUGGGGCUGUAGUCGGUCCCAAGGGUAUGGCUGUUCGCCAUUUAAAGAGGUACGUGAGCUGGGUUUAAA